ensembl:snoRNA small nucleolar RNA SNORD113/SNORD114 family
UGGAUCAAUGAUAACUGUUGGUGUAGGAGUCACGCAUGAUGAAUGAUAUGUGUCUGGACUGCCGAGGUCCAA